AGCGAACGCUGGCGGCAGGCCUAACACAUGCAAGUCGAACGAAGUCUUCGGACUUAGUGGCGGACGGGUGAGUAACACGUGGGAACGUGCCUUUAGGUUCGGAAUAACUCAGGGAAACUUGUGCUAAUACCGAAUGUGCCCUUCGGGGGAAAGAUUUAUCGCCAUUGGAGCGGCCCGCGUCUGAUUAGCUAGUUGGUGAGGUAAAGGCUCACCAAGGCGACGAUCAGUAGCUGGUCUGAGAGGAUGAUCAGCCACAUUGGGACUGAGACACGGCCCAAACUCCUACGGGAGGCAGCAGUGGGGAAUCUUGCGCAAUGGGCGAAAGCCUGACGCAGCCAUGCCGCGUGAAUGAUGAAGGUCUUAGGAUUGUAAAAUUCUUUCACCGGGGACGAUAAUGAUGGUACCCGGAGAAGAAGCCCCGGCUAACUUCGUGCCAGCCGCCGCGGUAA
rnacentral:rRNA from 1 species